rnacentral:rRNA from 1 species
AGUGAACGCUGGCGGUAGGCCUAACACAUGCAAGUCGAACGGCAGCACAGUAAGAGCUUGCUCUUACGGGUGGCGAGUGGCGGACGGGUGAGUAAUACAUCGGAAUCUACUCUCUGGUGGGGGAUAACGUAGGGAAACUUACGCUAAUUCCCCAUAGGACUUAUGGGUGAAAGCAGGGGUUCUUUGAACGUUGUCCGAUGUAAUGAGCUGAUGUCGGUCUGGUUAGUUUGCGGGGUAAGGGCCCGCCAAGCCAACGUUCCGUACCUGGUCUGAGAGAAUGAUCAGCCACACUGGAACUGAGACACGGUCCAGACUCCUACGGGAGGCAGCAGUGGGGAAUGUUGGACGAUGGACGCAAGCCUGAUCCAGCCAUACCGCGUGGGUGGAGAAAGCCUUCGGGUUGUAAAGCCCUUUUGUUGGGAAAGAAAAGCAGCGGGUUGAUACCCCGCUGUUCUGACGGUACCCAAAGAAUAAGCACCGGCUAACUUCGUG